ensembl:lncRNA
CCUGGCCGCGCUGAUGGAGAGACAGCUGAGCGGGACGCUUUGCAAGCUGCUGUAUGUGCUGUAUUCCCACAGUUGGUCCCGGGAAACAGCUGCAGAGGUCAUGUUGUGGGCCAGGAUCCCAGACUGCCGUCGCUAGCUCAAGAGCAGGGCCUCUCCUGAGACUGGACUCUCCAAGGCUUGCCCCUAGCCAACCGUGACUCCUCUGUGAGCACUGCUUCCUUGGGGUGUCUCGUCAGGGGACACUGAAGACCUUCCCCUUCCCGGCUCCCCGUUCACGGUACAGGGGGCCCAGCUUUCUCCUGAAGGUCCUGCCCCCAGCCUUCACCCAUCCCCUUACCCAUCCCAGCACCAGAGCCUUGAGGUCAGCCUCCAUCUAAAGGUCCUUUUUACAGAAAUACACCUCAUAUCCGCUUUUAGUCUAGAAAACCUUGAGAGUCACCAGAAUACCUUGGUGACAGUCGUGUGGCAGAAUUGCCUGUUUUAGAAGCGGCUGUCUCAGGGUGUGUACCCCCACCUCAUGUGUUGGCAUUUCCAGGGAAGGGCCAGGAAUUCUCUUUAGCAAUCAAGACUGAGUUACUAGCGUGCAGGGUCCUUAUUUUACUGCCAGCCAUAGACAUCAUUUGAAGUAUGCUUUUUUAAAAAACCAUCAUCUGCUGACUCUUAGUAACGCCUGAUUAGACCAAGCAACAUAUCUGUGCGUCUGAUUAACCUCAGUAAAACCAGCGUGUGGAGAGGCAUCUGGGGACUGCAGCCCUGCGGACCUUUCCUGUUGAUCUCAGCUAGAGAGGAUGGGCGACCGUGAAGGGCCUUUGUGUUUCUCCAGCUGCAGCCCUCGUUCCGAACACGAGGCAUGUUUCCUAGUUAGCAGGGAGGUGAAGGAGCUGAUUCUGGGAGAGAAAAUCUACCCGGCUCCCCAAGGCCAACCAAGGAUCGGCCUCCAGAGGGUAUGUUUCACCCUGUGGCCAAAGCAGGACCCCCGAGCCUGGAGAGGGGGCACCUGCCCAGCAGGGGAGGCACCUCCUGCUGGCCCUGGCCUGCCCUCUCUGGCCACAGAGACUAGGAGAUGCUCUCACAUCAGGCGGGGCUGGCUUUGGCCGCGCACUGCACCUCUUCUCUGCCUUCACCCCGACCGUAGACAGCUGGGGAAAAGUUGACCUUCGAGAGGCUGCUCCAUGGUCUUACUUAGAACCCUUCCUUGGGUUUAGUUACUAGGUCACUGGAAUUGGAUUCUUUUGGUGUUUUUCCUUGUAGUCACCCGUCAAGCUUUUUUAAGCCUGAGUUCACAGGGCGUUUCCCAGUCUUGAGGGACCAGAGCUCCACAGUGGAGCUUCUUGGGGACCCAGCUGGGGCUCGGCGGUCGGGGAAGCCCGCUUCCUCGGCUGCACUAGCAGUCAGCCCCUGCUCUGCUCGCUUUUCAACUGAGAGAGUCUUUGCCGUUGAUGCAUUAGCGCUGUUAAGCGGGAACCAGAGUGUCAGUGAGGACUGGCUCAGCGUCGAACCUGGCUAAUGACGAGGGUGGCCGGGCCUUAACCAGCACCCGCUUCUCUUCACGGAGCAUCUGAGUUCCUCUGACAGAAGAGCAGUCGGCUUGUAAGGAGCCGGGCCUCCGCACAGUCCCAGUUCCAAGGCUCUCUGGCUGGCUGUCUCCCAGGCCAGCAGUCCGCCCCGGGCAGUCACCCCCGGAGGACCUCCGAGAUGAGCGGCUCACACUGUGGAAUAACCCCACGGCCGUGAGGGGGCUCUGCCCCGCCUCUGCUCUCUCACCCGUGUCUCACUCUCUAAGGACCGAGGUCCAGAGCCAUUGCCGUUUUCCUCCUAUGCCCAGAGCACCCGCAGCCCAAGUGGGCCACCUCUGCCUGGGGCCGCGAGCGGCCAGUGCCUAGGGAGGGCGUCCUCAGAGAGAGAGAGAGAGUCAGGAAAGGCGUGGCUCUCCAGGGCGGGCUGUGGGCCUGACUGCCAUGGCCUGGUCAUAUACACCACAGGUCAGCAAGUUGUAUAUACGGAAGGUUUCCUAGGUCCCUCUGGCUCAUCCUCUGUGAUUUACGUGCGCAUCUGUAAUGUCGCAGGCUUCUGGAGAAUGUUUAUAUUAAUAGUAUGUCAGACAUUAAAGAGUAUGCUUCCUGCCACCUGCCAGUGUUGUAAUUGCGGAUAUUUAUAGUUGUUUGUGCCUAUAUGUAUCAAUGUGUAGACUGUACAUCAGUAUACAGUGUAUGUACAUCAAAUUUAUUUUUGUCCUUAAACAGUGUGAUAUGACAAGCAAGUAAAAACCUCAUAGGAUUGAAUAUAUAAUGCAGUUUUUUGAGAGUCUAUAUUAGUGGUACUGUUUUAUUAAACUUAAAUUCAAAUGAUAUUUUGAUUAAUUUUUUUUAAUAAUAAGAUUUUAUGCUAGAAAAUUUCAUCUUUGAGCUUUGACUCACCAGAGCAAAAAGGACUCUGAACUAACUUUGUUAAACUAUUUCAGUGUACUGUGUACAAUACUGGGGUGGGGGUAGCUCAUUAUAAUUUGAAAUAUACAGAAAGAAAGAAAAAAAAAAAAAACACACAGGCAACCUGUGCAGUCUUAGCAACUUCAGUAUUAAGAGCACUUAAAGUCAAACCGACAAUUUGGGGCUUAUUACAAAAUGUGAUGCUUUAGAGCACACUUUCUUUAUUGUUGUAAUUAGUCCAGAAAAAUAGAGCUUUCAGAAGAAUCAGCUAAGUGCCCGGCAUAUCACUUACAUACCUGUGACUAUUUUACAGCAGCUCACACCACCCACCCUCCCAGCCCUGCAUCCUCACCCUCUUCACCUUGAAGAACAUCACCAACCCCUGCAGUAGGUCAGGCUCCCCGAGACCCAGGACUGCCCUCCGGGUCUACGGCUGCACCAGCUAAGCGUCAAGUCACAGGUAAAAGAAUGUCAGGACAGACUGUGGACCAGGUGAAAACUUUAAUAUUUUUAUACUUAGGUCUCUUUUCCUGCCUCUCCCCAAAGAAGAGCCGCCGGCCUUAGUUGUCUGAGCUUACUGCUUAUCUUAACAGUAUAUAAAUAGAUCACUAGAGAGUAAAACUUUAUUAACCAGCAUGUUGGUGUAAUUUAAAGCAAAACUGAGUGUGUGUGAGUGAGUGGUUGAGUGCAGUGCGUCUGUCUACGCUUGCCUGUCGUCCCGCGGGUCCGAUUCAGAGCGUGGGAGCCGUGGGCUAAAGGGCUCAGCCUCGGCCCCUGACCGCAGUAGUGGUGGUUGCACUUGAGUCGUUUUCUUAAUUAACUGUAGUCUCAAACUAUUUUUGCAGUUGUAUCCCAUUUCCUCAUCAGUCCUUGACGUGCAGGGCACUGGCCCUGCGUCCCUGCGGGGUCUCUGUUCCACUAGCGUGUUUCCUCCUGAGAACCACAGUGAUUUGCACAAGCAUCCCUUUGAUUCAGAAGCCACAUACAGAAAGGAGUAGCAACCUUUAAAAUUUUAAUGUGGGGUCUUAGUCAUUUGGACUGUUGGGACUUUUAAUGUAAAGUCAAGUAACCCUUUGACCUGGAUAAUAAUAUCUCCUUCCAGGAGAGUAUGUAUGCACAUCGACUCCAACGUCCUUUGGAUACUUUUCUAAGUUGUAGGAACAAGAGUUAAAGGGGAAGGUGUAAGCUGCUGGCCUCUGCCGGGGGGAGGCCUGCUGUGGCCUGUCCUCUGCCCCGAGGGCUCUAGUACACAGGGGCCUCCGGCAUGUGUACACACGCUUGCACACGUGUACGCAGUGAGUGCCCCGAGUCAUGUAAACUCAAGACGCAGAGCGCUGGAGCGUAGCUUCGGGCAUGGACCGAGGUGGCCGUGGCCUGCAGGCCCCUCAGGGCAGGCAGGACCUGGAGAGAGGCUGCGCGGGGAGGGGCUGGCUGGCAGGUGGGGGCCCUCCGCUCCCCAGCAUCCUGGGUGGCGGGGCGGCUGCUCGGUCGCAGGUUACAUUGUGAGGGGGUCACAGGGAGGAACACAGCCCUCCAAGGCCCGAGCUGUGCGGAGCCGCUGGACAGGGGAGGAGCCUGGCUGUGACGGGUUUCCCUUUGCAGGCUGGAGGCUCAGCUUUCACCAACAGUGUUAUGAAAGAAAAAGCACCUUAGUGUCAAUUCCUGGAAAAUGUUGGUUACCAGGGAGAAUUCUGGAG